GGAUCCAGACUUUGAUUCUGGCUCAGGACGAACGCUGGCGGCGCGCCUAACACAUGCAAGUCGAACGGAGUUUACGGGACUGAUCCUUCGGGUGAUCGAACGCAAACUUAGUGGCGGACGGGUGAGUGACACGUGAGCAACCUGCCCUACAGUGGGGGAUAACGUUUUGAAAAGAACGCUAAUACCGCAUAACGUACCGGAAGGGCAUCCUUCCGGUACCAAAGGAGCAAUCCGCUGUAAGAUGGGCUCGCGUCCGAUUAGCCAGUUGGCGGGGUAACGGCCCACCAAAGCGACGAUCGGUAGCCGGACUGAGAGGUUGAUCGGCCACAUUGGGACUGAGACACGGCCCAGACUCCUACGGGAGGCAGCAGUGGGGGAUAUUGCACAAUGGGGGAAACCCUGAUGCAGCGACGCCGCGUGAGGGAAGAAGGUUUUCGGAUUGUAAACCUCUGUCUUCGGUGACGAAAAUGACGGUAGCCGAGGAGGAAGCCACGGCUAACUACGUGCCAGCAGCCGCGGUAAUACGUAGGUGGCAAGCGUUGUCCGGAAUUAUUGGGUGUAAAGGGAGCGUAGGCGGGGAUACAAGUUGAAUGUUAAAACUAUGGGCUCAACCCAUAGUUGCGUUCAAAACUGUAUUUCUUGAGUGAAGUAGAGGUAAGCGGAAUUCCUAGUGUAGCGGUGAAAUGCGUAAAUAUUAGGAGGAACACCAGUGGCGAAGGCGGCUUACUGGGCUUUAACUGACGCUGAGGCUCGAAAGCGUGGGUAGCAAACAGGAUUAGAUACCCUGGUAGUCCACGCUGUAAACGAUGAUUACUAGGUGUGGGGGGACUGACCCCUUCCGUGCCGGAGUUAACACAAUAAGUAAUCCACCUGGGGAGUACGACCGCAAGGUUGCAACUCAAAUGAAUUGACGG
rnacentral:rRNA from 1 species